rnacentral:rRNA from 1 species
UAAUACGUAGGGGGCAAGCGUUAUCCGGAUUUACUGGGUGUAAAGGGAGCGUAGACGGUUCUGCAAGUCUGGUGUGAAAGCCCGGGGCUCAACCCCGGGACUGCAUUGGAAACUGUGGAACUAGAGUGCAGGAGAGGUAAGUGGAAUUCCUAGUGUAGCGGUGAAAUGCGUAGAUAUUAGGAGGAACACCAGUGGCGAAGGCGGCUUACUGGACUGUAACUGACGUUGAGGCUCGAAAGCGUGGGGAGCAAACAGG